AGACCCGAAACCCGGUGAUCUAGCCAUGGGCAGGUUGAAGGUUGGGUAACACUAACUGGAGGACCGAACCGACUAAUGUUGAAAAAUUAGCGGAUGACUUGUGGCUGGGGGUGAAAGGCCAAUCAAACCGGGAGAUAGCUGGUUCUCCCCGAAAGCUAUUUAGGUAGCGCCUCGUGAAUUCAUCUCCGGGGGUAGAGCACUGUUUCGGCAAGGGGGUCAUCCCGACUUACCAACCCGAUGCAAACUGCGAAUACCGGAGAAUGUUAUCACGGGAGACACACGGCGGGUGCUAACGUCCGUCGUGAAGAGGGAAACAACCCAGACCGCCAGCUAAGGUCCCAAAGUCAUGGUUAAGUGGGAAACGAUGUGGGAAGGCCCAGACAGCCAGGAUGUUGGCUUAGAAGCAGCCAUCAUUUAAAGAAAGCGUAAUAGCUCACUGGUCGAGUCGGCCUGCGCGGAAGAUGUAACGGGGCUAAACCAUGCACCGAAGCUGCGGCAGCGACACUGUGUGUUGUUGGGUAGGGGAGCGUUCUGUAAGCCUGUGAAGGUGUACUGUGAGGUAUGCUGGAGGUAUCAGAAGUGCGAAUGCUGACAUAAGUAACGAUAAAGCGGGUGAAAAGCCCGCUCGCCGGAAGACCAAGGGUUCCUGUCCAACGUUAAUCGGGGCAGGGUGAGUCGACCCCUAAGGCGAGGCCGAAAGGCGUAGUCGAUGGGAAACAGGUUAAUAUUCCUGUACUUGGUGUUACUGCGAAGGGGGGACGGAGAAGGCUAUGUUGGCCGGGCGACGGUUGUCCCGGUUUAAGCGUGUAGGCUGGUUUUCCAGGCAAAUCCGGAAAAUCAAGGCUGAGGCGUGAUGACGAGGCACUACGGUGCUGAAGCAACAAAUGCCCUGCUUCCAGGAAAAGCCUCUAAGCAUC
rnacentral:rRNA from 1 species